UCUUCAAUAUCUUCACGUUCUUUGACAAUAUUUUCUACCUCCUUUCUUCCUUCAAUGCAACAGAAGUCCAUUUAAUCUGCUUUGAUCAGGACAUGAAUCUGCUCACAUAUAUAUACAAAGCCAAUAUAUUAGGGAUGAAAACAUGUUUCAAUGGGAUUGUUAUGUAUAAACUAC